rnacentral:rRNA from 1 species
AGACCCGAAACCCGGUGAUCUAGCCAUGGGCAGGUUGAAGGUUGGGUAACACUAACUGGAGGACCGAACCGACUAAUGUUGAAAAAUUAGCGGAUGACCUGUGGCUGGGGGUGAAAGGCCAAUCAAACCGGGAGAUAGCUGGUUCUCCCCGAAAGCUAUUUAGGUAGCGCCUCGUGAAUUCAUCUCCGGGGGUAGAGCACUGUUUCGGCUAGGGGGCCAUCCCGGCUUACCAACCCGAUGCAAACUGCGAAUACCGGAGAAUGUUAUCACGGGAGACACACGGCGGGUGCUAACGUCCGUCGUGAAGAGGGAAACAACCCAGACCGCCAGCUAAGGUCCCAAAGUCAUGGUUAAGUGGGAAACGAUGUGGGAAGGCCCAGACAGCCAGGAUGUUGGCUUAGAAGCAGCCAUCAUUUAAAGAAAGCGUAAUAGCUCACUGGUCGAGUCGGCCUGCGCGGAAGAUGUAACGGGGCUAAACCAUGCACCGAAGCUGCGGCAGCGAAGGUAUCACCCAAGACAACUUUACGGAGUUGACGAUUGACGGAGCGAAGCGACGUCAAAGCGUAUACAAAGUCGAGUUGGCUUAGGGAUACGUUCGUUGGGUAGGGGAGCGUUCUGUAAGCCUGUGAAGGUGGCCUGUGAGGGUUGCUGGAGGUAUCAGAAGUGCGAAUGCUGACAUAAGUAACGAUAAAGCGGGUGAAAAGCCCGCUCGCCGGAAGACCAAGGGUUCCUGUCCAACGUUAAUCGGGGCAGGGUGAGUCGACCCCUAAGGCGAGGCCGAAAGGCGUAGUCGAUGGGAAACGGGUUAAUAUUCCCGUACUUGGUGUUACUGCGAAGGGGGGACGGAGAAGGCUAUGUUGGCCGGGCGACGGUUGUCCCGGUUUAAGCGUGUAGGUGUGUGUUCCAGGUAAAUCCGGUUCACUUUAACACUGAGGCGUGACGACGAGGCACUACGGUGCUGAAGCAACAAAUGCCCUGCUUCCAGGAAAAGCCUCUAAGCAUCAGGUAACAUCAAAUCGUACCCCAAACCGACACAGGUGGUCAGGUAGAGAAUACCAAGGCGCUUGAGAGAACUCGGGUGAAGGAACUAGGCAAAAUGGUGCCGUAACUUCG